rnacentral:rRNA from 1 species
UCCUACGGGAGGCAGCAGUGGGGAAUCUUAGACAAUGGGGGCAACCCUGAUCUAGCCAUGCCGCGUGAGUGAUGAAGGCCUUAGGGUCGUAAAGCUCUUUCGCCUGUGAUGAUAAUGACAGUAGCAGGUAAAGAAACCCCGGCUAACUCCGUGCCAGCAGCCGCGGUAAUACGGAGGGGGUUAGCGUUGUUCGGAAUUACUGGGCGUAAAGCGCACGUAGGCGGAUUAGAAAGUUAGGGGUGAAAUCCCGGGGCUCAACCUCGGAACUGCCUCUAAAACUCCUAGUCUAGAGUUCGAGAGAGGUGAGUGGAAUUCCAAGUGUAGAGGUGAAAUUCGUAGAUAUUUGGAGGAACACCAGUGGCGAAGGCGGCUCACUGGCUCGAUACUGACGCUGAGGUGCGAAAGUGUGGGGAGCAAACAGGAUUAGAUACCCUGGUAGUCCACACCGUAAACGAUGAAUGCCAGUCGUCGGCAAGUAUACUUGUCGGUGACACACCUAACGGAUUAAGCAUUCCGCCUGGGGAGUACGGUCGCAAGAUUAAAACUCA